UAUAAUAUAUAUCGAUCAGUCGACAUCAACCACCGCAGUGACAGCGGCCUACUUACUUCAUUAUCUUCUUACUUAAACGUAACAAUGUUUGACGUACCUAGGUGCAAAUAACGUUAGCUUUAAAAAAUGAAAACUAAAGGAUAGCCUUUAGCGUCUCAUUUUUAUAAAAUCGGGAAAGGGUUUAGAACUUAUGUCUUUUUUGCGUUACGUAGUUUAUGGAUAACCACUUAUCACUGUUGGGUGUAAGUAUUUUUGCAAAAACAAGUAACAUUGCACAAGUGUUACACGUAGCGUAAAGAUUGGCAUUUUGACAUACAUUAGAAGACUGCGUCAUUAUUAUUUGAACAGAUUUAUUAACUCUGUUUUAGUUAUGCAGCUACGUGCAUGUACAUGAAAAUUUUUGAUGCAUACAUCGAUAGGAUUCGGGGUAUAAAUACUGAAACGCACUCCACUUGAACCACAGUUGCGCAGAACUAACUAUGAAGCAAGUGAACUGUAUAGUCAUUUUUGGGCUAUUCUGCAGCAAUGCAGUUUCCGCAAACAAAAACGAAAAGGCAACCGCAGAAGCAUCAGUACAGAUCAAUGAUAAAAAUGUGACUAAAGCUGAAGAAACAGCACAAUCUGGACGAAUCAUCAACGGGUUUGCUGUGGAUAUUGCAAGGUAUCCUUUUGCAUUAACUUUACGCCUCGAUGGCCGAUACCGUUCCAGCGCUGUUGUCAUCUCAUUAUCUUGUGCGUUGACUGGUGCUGAUGAUGUUUCUCCAUAUCGCAACAGUGUUCAAAGGGUUACUCUCUAUGGAGGCAGUUCAUCAGCAACUUCCGGAGGGGUGUUAUUUCAAGUGACCAGGAUCGCUGUUCAUCCUAACUACGUUCCGAAUAGUGGCGUAUCAGAUUUCAAUAUUGCUGUCCUUGCUGUGCCAACGAAUGCCUUCGGAGGAAAGCGAUAUAUUGCAUCGAUACCGCUUGCACCAGAUGGAGUAACAAUUGGAACUAAAUGCUCCGUGUUCGGAUGGGGCAGAACAAUUGCCAAUCUCCCAGCAACUGCUACUGCAUUACGUUCUGCUGACAUGUACAUAACAUCGGAUGCUACCUGUGCUAGAGUUUGGGCUACAUUUGGAGUUAAAAUUACUUCAAACAUGCUCUGUGCUAAGGGCGGCAAAGCAGCGGAUUUAUGCCCUGGUGAUUAUGGCAAUGCCCUGGUUUGCAGCGGUAGACUGACUGGAGUUGCGAUCCUAGUUACUUCGUGUGGUAAUGGUCGGGACGCAGUAUAUACAAAAAUAACGGCUCCUAGUGUUCGCAGCUUCAUUCGCAUCCAAACUGGUGUAUGAUGCAGAUCGUGUGUACUGUAACUACUAGUAUGAUUUUGUAUAUUGCUAAAUAUUCAUGCAUCACUUUGGAAACCUUUUGAAUAAAAAUUAAAGUCUGUAAA